UCAAACAUACCAGUACUGUAUCAAAAACUUUUCUCUGCGUGGUGGAAGUGUAGGGAAUCCCACUGUCACCUCAGCAGAUUUUGGCACCAGGCGCACAGCAGUGCAGGACUGGAAGUCAAUGAGACUCGGGGACAGGCUUCAUGUUUCUUAAGCCCAAUGGCACUUACUGUGUUUAAUACGCCUUUAGAGCCUAACCUAGAGCUUUGCUGGAUUUAUAAUUAGUCACUUCCACCCUGCCUUAUUAAGCAAACAUUAGAAAACUUGACUCUCCUUGCCGUAUGGUUAAUCUCAGCCCUGUAGACAGACUGAUAUAUUGUCAAGUGCCACCUGCAUUCUUUUGACACUCAGAAUAAAACGCUGACAGUCAGUAUUUCACCACAAAUAGCCAGUGGUUAUUGCAUAAGUCUUUCAUCCUCACUAGAGGUUGUCAGAAAUCACAAAAGUGAUCAGAAUUCCACUUAUCAGAACUUUUUUUAGCUUCUGUUUUCCACAGUUACUGAAGGCAUACUUUUCUUUUUAGGGUUAAGCACAAGGUGAAUAAACAUGUCACUAGUGACAGUCCAGCUCGGACAGUGUGGUAAUCAAAUUGGUCGUGAGGUGUUUAAUGCUAUCUGCAGUGAUGUCCAUGGCACACACGGAUUGUGUUCCAAGAAGGAGAAUGAAUCCUACCACGAUGCAUGUAAAGAACGCUUUUUCAUCGAGGCAGAAUCUGGAGUACCUGUUGCCCGGGCUGUACUUGUUGACAUGGAACCUAAAGUAAUCAGCCAAACAUUGUCAAUAGCUGCCAAGUCUGGCUACUGGAAAUACGAUGAUCAUUCGCACUUCUGUCAGAAGCAAGGGUCUGGGAACAACUGGGCAAAUGGUUACACUGUUCAUGGGCCUAGACACAAAGAAGCAAUCAUGAAUCUGGUACAAAAAGAAGCAGAGAAAUGUGACCGACUUGGUGGAUUUUUCACGAUAAUGAGCAUGGCUGGUGGUACAGGAUCUGGUUUAGGAGCAUUUGUGACACAGUGUUUAAGAGAUGAUUUUCCAUCCUCAUUUAUACUAAACCAUGUUAUCUGGCCCUAUGGCACUGGUGAGUCAUCAGAUGCUCUUCUUGUUCACGAAAAUGAUGUCAUCCACAAGAUCUGUGCUCAGCUGAUGCAUAUGAAACAGAUCUCCUUCAAGGAUGUAAAUCAAGUCAUUGCACAUCAGCUGGGGAGUGUUUUCCAGCCCACUUACACAGCGGAAGAUGGCUUACACUAUAGCAGAAACCCAUUAGGAGAUUUAAUGGAGACAUUAGUUCCACAUCCUGAAUUCAAGAUGUUGGGUCUUCGUAACAUACCUCAGAUGCCUGAAAAUUCCCUUGCAUAUAGCACAUUCAGUUGGCCUGGACUCAUCAAACAUCUCAGGCAAAUGCUUAUUGCUAAUGCUGAAAUGGAAGAAGGUAUUGACUGGCAAGUACAGCCGCCACGUCCAGGCUCCUCUGUUCCCUCCAGCCAUUCCACAAACAAGCUGCCGCAUUUCAAUACUUCCAUUGCCAACCUGGUUAUCCUGAGAGGAAAAGAUACGCACAGUGCAGACUUAGGAAGUUUCCGAGAUCCUUCAUUAUAUACAUCAUGGUUAAACCCUCAGGAUGCUUUUAGUGCAUGGAAAACACCAAGAGCAUUUAACAAGUAUGAGAAGUCUGCUUCUCUGGUUAGCAAUAGCCAGUUCCUGCUGAAACCUCUUGACAAUGUUGUACGCAAAGCUUGGAAUAUGUUUGCUUCCAAAGCCUAUGUUCACCAGUACACUAAAUAUGGAAUUGAAGAGGAAGACUUCUUGGACAGCUUCACAGCUCUGGAACAAGUUAUCUCCAGUUACACCACCCUUUGAUUUUUGAAAUGGUCUCUUCCUGAAAGAAUCUAGCACUGGAAGACCUUCCAUCAGCUUCCUAAAGCCAGGAACAGGAGCACUAAACCCACCCCAGGAGCAACUGUUCUUAAAGUAGCUCUGGCACACGAGAUCUGGAACGGCAAACAAAUGUGUUGACAAGAUUCAAGUAACUGUACAAUUGAACCUGAAGUAAGUAAGUACCGGGGCUAAGUUCAGAAUUGCUCAAAUACAGAUAGAGCAAUAGCUGAUCACUGGAAUGGUUUAGUUUCAGUGCAAGCCACAAUGGAUUCUGAUAAAUUUCAUGGCAGUUUAUAGAUAAGCAAUAUUAAUCUCUUACAUGUUCAAAAAUAAAUUUAAGGAGCCUUUUACUAGUAGGGGAACUGUCAGCACACAACAUUAAGAGUUGAGCCUAGUCCAUGCAGAAAAAUUACCUGUGUAAAUUAAGAGCUAUGUUAGUGCUUCAGUUCAACAUCUGACUCAUUAGCGGAUCGUUUGUGGGUGUGGUUGGGGUUGAAUGCAGGAGAGAAGGAAAACAGGAGAAUGCAGAUGGGGUAAAUAUACCUGGUAACUUUUCAUAUAAAAAGACAUUUACAUUUAUGACAAGAGAUUUUGAAAAUACUCUUCUGGAAAACCACAGUACACAAUCCAACUCAGUCCGGAUUGCUUUCUGUUUUCACUCGGCUGCUUUAAUUCCUGUUUUAGGAACACCCUCUCAAAAGGGGAUGACACAAUAAUCAUGGUUCAACUACUCAGACAUGCUUCAGGCCCUAUACUGUUUGGAAGUUUAAAACUACUUCUAUAAUUACAUUUUAAUAUACAAGUAUUUAUGAUUAUUUCAUAUUUUUUCACUAAACUACUUCCUGGCAACUCGGAGUUAGGGGACUAUUAUGAUCAGAAGGGCUUUUCUGGUCUUGUAUUUUUGUCGGUUUAAACCAUUGUCUUUAACUUCAGCAUUUUCACACAAGAAACUGGAGGAAAGAUUGCAUAAGACAUUAAGAUAAACAGAAGGGGCAAUUCAAGUUUGCAAGGAACAAAGGGUCAGGAAAGCAGACAGUAUGGUGAGGUUCUCCCUCUUUCCUCCUUAAAAAGGCACAGGAUGUUUAGCAACAUAGAAAUAAUUUUUCCUAGUGUUUUCAACAGAUAAUGCUAUCAGACUCAGAACUUCUUCCAGUAUCAGAAAUGAAAAAUAUUCAUUUUUGAAAAAAAUAACUAAGACCCAGGAACACAUAUUCUUCCUCAGUGUUACACUGGAUAGGUAAAAGAUUUUAAAAAGCUUAUACAAAUAAGUCCUUCCAGAAGUAAGGAAGAGAGUAAGUUUUUGUACUGCUACAUCAAGCAACCUUAUUGCACAAAUAAUUUUGCAUUAUCUCUACGUAUUUAUAAUUCUGAGCAUGAAGCAAGCAAAGCAGGCACUUAGUGCAGGUGUGAACAACGUAGAGCCAUUUAUCCAUUCUUUAUAGCCACAUAUAUUAUUUAUGGCUUAUAUCACUUUCAGUUAAAAGAGCAGGAUAUUUAGGUUUCCUUAAGUUUGGCAGAAUUUGGGCCACAUCAGGAAACACAGCACACAGCUGAGGCUUAUAUCCCUAAAGCAAAAAUAAGGAUUUCCUUAUUUAAUCUCAAGUUACAGCAUAUGAACAGCAAGGAAGAAAAAUACUACAGCUCAAAGGCAGCACUAGGCCAGCAAGUUUGUUACUGCUUAACAAGGAUAAUUCUGCAGUAACUUGUUCACAAUUAGGAUUCAGGGAAAAUACUGCUUCCAUGCAAAAACAACAAUUUUCAAAGCAGCAAUAGAGGCUAAAGCCCAUCAGCCAAAUUUUGACAACAACAGACUUCUCAAAACUACAAGGAAACUGGAGGCAAAAACAGAACUGUAACUGUUGUAUUAGCUGCUCUAGUCCCUUUUGCUGGAGAAGAGAUUGUUAGGAAUUAUUUUAGGCCUUUCUAGGCUUCUUCCUGUCAGUGUUUUUCACUGCUGACCUCAGUUUUGAAAUUCUCACACCCUUUCCCAAACUAAGCCUUCAUUUUUUGAUCUAUGGCUGGAUUCCUCUAUUUUUUCCCCAGGAUGUGGAGAGGAGAGGGUCAUAGUGACAGGAAGUGAAUAACUAUUACUAAAUUUUCAUCAUCUAAAGUUAUAUUAGAAGGUAAAAUAGUCCUUUUCUAUUUUAUUGAGAAAAUUAAUUCUGUAAAGGAUAGCCUGAGCCUGGCAGAGGGCCUUUAUUUCAUUAGAAAUGUAAAUCAGUGAGGUAAUCAGAGGUCAGCACAAGCCAAUGGCUCACCGAGGCAGGGACAGCAGAAUCAGUGGCCUUGACCUAGCCAGUUUUAGGUGAACUACCCACAGGAUGUCUAUAAACCACGGAACAAUGCGUCAAAUCUCACUAUUGUUUUUUGUAAUGGACAGGUGCAGCACACUUGGAAGUUGCUUGAAGGACUAACUAUAGCAGAAAUAUUUAAUGAAUGGGGUAACUUUUAUUUGGUCACCAACAAACAGGACCAAAGUUUAACAUGUUACAAGUUCUUAAAAGGCAGUAACAGGCAAGUGACAGGGACCUGAUAUAAAUACCAUUUAUUUGGACUUACAUGUCAGUGCUUAUAAGGUAAGACUAAUUACCAGUAGAGAAAUGACAGAACUUUACUGAAUAUGUGUAGGGGCUUUUAAGAGGAUUACCUGCACUAAUUUACCAGACAGGAACAGUUCUAGAUUAAGGGCAAAAACCUGUGGUUUCCACAAAGACCAGGACUCUAUCGGUAAGAAAGAAGGAAGUUACGUAUUAAUUACCAGCCAAUACACAACUAGGAAACAUUAAGGUACAAAAGGGCAUUGAAUGAAUAAUUCAUUCCCUUCUGCAUUUGUUAAUAAAUUCAGUAUAGGUAAAUACUAUGAAACGACAGACCAAACGUCCAAAAUUAAGUAUUCUUUGAUGUCAGACUGUCCAAGUCCAAGUUUUGCUGUACACCACCUUAAAAAAACACCUAACAGUCAUCAGGAACAUGAUUCAUGGAUCUGAUGUGUUAUGAAAAGCUUCAGAAGGAACUGAGCUGCUGCCUUUCCUCUACUGCUUUCAAGGGCAACCCAGACACUCCUUUACCAAUACAGCAAAUUCCAGCGUAGGCUUCCUCCACAAGCCUGCCUCUGGGCUUCCUACCCCACCUCUGCCCACGCUCCAGAAGCAUGGCUUGGACACUCAGACAGCCUUUAACCCGCCUGGAUGUAGAGCUGAUAAUCCUGAAUUUUAACUAUAGAGCCUUUCCGGCUCUUUCAGUCGAACUGGAAGUUCACAAUGGACCCUUCUGAUUUCACAUUGUAUGAAUCCUCUCCCUCUAGACAGCCACUUCCCCUCUGUCCGGGUGGGGGUAAUGAGUCACCUACCUCAGUGAAUCAGCAGAACCUGCUUAACCCUUUCCCAGAAGCACGAACAGCUGCAAGUAGGGUGGUGUUUCCAACGAAUUUCAUUGCCAGUUAUACAGGGCAAAUUGGAAAUGCUGAAGAUAGCCUGAGAUAAGAGAUAAGAGAGGCUGCUUCUGCAGGAACCAGGAAAUUUCAAGACAAUUUUUGUGUGUAUGUUCCAUGACAGCACUCAUGGUUGCACUACAGUGAAUAAAUGGAAGAAGUUUAAACCUCAACCCCAUGGCUCAUACAUGCCUGAGAGAUUCUGAAUGGUGACUGCUAAGAGAGUUUAGCAGCAUAAAGCAAUGUAACAGGCCUCCGUAUGGAGCCACGUGAAUAAGGUUGCAGAAAGUCUUGUCUGCUUGUCUUAGAAGCAGUUUUUUCUUUUCUAAAUAUGGAGUGUUACACAUAAGAGAAAAAUAGGCAAGAUGAGGACUUUCUCUAGGCCAAUAUUCCCAUUUUUAAAGAAAAAAAUAAACUAAAAUAAGCCACUGGUUAAUAGAAAAAAGACAGAAGAAACAUUUCUCAACACUUCGUGUUUGAGCUUUAGUAAGCUGUGAGCUCGUUUCCCUAAUUAUACAUGAUGAGAAAUUAAUACCACUUAAAUGGUAUAUGUGCAUUUAAAUGGGUGCGUUCUCCAGAAAUGAUUAUUGUACAUAUUUGGUUACACAUACAGUGUAAUGUUUAUUCAAAGGCUCACAAAAAUACACUUCAUUUGCCUGAGAAUGGUGUAAUUGUGGUCAGAUGGCAUGAUUCAAUUUGAACUUUUGCCCAGCAGGCUCCAAUAUGUAAUAGAUCAUUUACUGAAGCAUGUAAGCAGAACACCACUGGAGGAGCCAAAUGGAAAGCAGCCUUAUCCCACAUGCUGAAGGUGUAAUAAAAUACUGACUCUGUACUUCUUGGUUGGCAAGGGCAGCUGUAGGUUCAUUAUAAUAUCCUCAAUAAGAAUGGUCAGAGCUGGGCAGUAGUUCAGAGCUACUGCUCUCCAGAUGGCUCAGAACAAUACCAAGUUCGAGAAUACGUAUUCCCUUGUAAGCCUGCUUGCUGCUGGAUGGCAUGCAUUCUUACCACGUGCAAAGAAAACACUGGGAAAUUUCCUCCUCACCGCACUUUGAGCAACUUCAACCUGUAUUACAACGUGACUCUGAGUCACCUGGACAGCAAAUGUUUCAUACAGCUAUUUGACACUGUAAGUUAGAAAUUCUCCUUCCGAGGCUGAAUUUUGGUGGAGAAACCUUAUACUAGUGUUUGGCAACUGAUGAACAGAAAUCCAAUUAAAUACUCUUCUCACAAGAAGAAAGCUUCCAUUCCCUCCCUACUACUCCUUAACUCAGGUUUUCAUAUCAUAUUAUUUUCCUCUAUAAAGAUUUAGUCAGGCUUCUCCACAAACCCAAUAUUUUCAUAGUGUAGUAUAACUGUAUGCAACUAGAUCUAAACCUAAUGCAGACCGUGAAAGGAUAGCCUAUUUUUCAGUGCAUAAAGGAAACUGAACGUGCUUUAGUACACAUGGGAUCCUGCUCAAGUCGAACAAAACUCCAGUCAACAGUCAAGCCUGAACUUGUCCAAAAAGUGCUAAGCACCAAGGACAGUCAGGGCUACAAGAAGAACUGAGCAGAUGAGCCACAAGUAACCAUUUUAAGCUAGGACUCUCAGGCUCAGGUCUGCCAAAUAGUUAAGCGCUUUCAUUAGUCAUUUAAUCAGAACGAUCAGCUCGCUCAGAGCUGAAAUCUUUUGCCAAAGCCCCGCACAGGAGACUUCCACACUUCACUUAAAAAACACCAGGCUCCUGGUGAGCAGCCAUCACAUUUUUAGUUCGUGCAGAAGUGCUGCAGUGUGAUUUGCCACAUGCAGAAGUGGUUAAGACAAGUUUAUAUACAACUGUUAAGUGAGCCAACAGAAUUAGGAUCACCAAUUGCAUUAGCAGAGGUCUAGUAGAAAUACUGCUUUGAACUUUUUUUUUUUUGUCAACCUUUACUUUGAGCUUAACUAAAUACUUGCUUCAGGCAUCUUAAAAAGUUUCUCUUCCUGCUGUUCCCCAUCUCAAGUCUCCUUAUGCAACAGGCACGGGCACAUGUGACCAGGUCACAAGAGGUCAUCUGGACUGAAGUGAGACACGAGGAUCAUGGAUUCAGAAAUGCAAAAUUUGUUUUUAUGGAAAUAUUCUGAAUAUUACAGCUAUCAAGAAAACAGCUGCAGCAAAUGAGAAACACGGCAGAGUUUUUGUGGACACGGCUGUACAGAGUUGUAAUCCUAAAGGUUCAUUUUUCCUUUAAGCAAGUCCAGUUUCUUUCAGAUGCAGAAAAGAAAUGCCGAGCACUCAAAAUUGCUGUUUCAAGCCUUUUUCAAGGCUUUUAACAGAUGGAAUGAACCUAAUAAACACAUAGUCUCAGGAAAGACAAACGGUCCCUUAAAACUCACAUGGUUCCUACAUGCAAGUGUGAGCCUCAAAUGAAGUAUUUGUGGUUUAGUUAGCAUGAGUUAAUUUUGCAAGAGAAUUGCCAGUCUCUUUCCUGACAUGUCAGAAGGAAAACAGAGGUACCACAAAGUCACUGCAUACAAACAGAACAAGCUCUGGGAAAAGCAUCUGAUCUUUAAAAAAAAAUAAAUAUUAGACUUUGUCAAAUGGUUCAAAGCAGAUCUUAACCUUCCCAGGCACACAGGCCACUGGUGGUGCCCAACUAGCUUGGAGCUCUGGCUGACACCUGCCGUAUCAGGGCUUCCUUCCAAAGAAAAGACUUUAGAUCUUAAAUUUCAUGUAGGUUGGCCAGUAUCCAAGCAAAUUCAUGGGUGACUACCUGCAGACUGAUGUCAGCAAUACUGUGAUCGCGUAAAACCAGGCUGACACUUCAGCGUUGAUAAGUUUCCCUAGAUUUGAGAUGCCUGAAAUCACCUACAUCAAACGCAGUCCUUCCCCCACAGGAUCCCUCAUGGAGGAGGAACACAGGAGUCACAGAGAGAAGACACCUUUUACAUGGACAGAAAAGCAGUUUGAGGCCACCAGGAGAUGGGUGCGGUUUGCAGAUCAGCUAUCGGAGCGGGGAACAAUGCACUGAGCUGACAAGUCCUAUCUCCUGCUUUUCAUCAGGAAAUAGCAGCUAGUUUCCUUAUUACCAACUGCCUGGGCAACUCAUUUAAGUUUCUUGGAAAAGCAGAACAAUUAAGCCGGCAGUAACUCCCUUGAAACACGGAAGAUGCAGCACCCUUACAUAUCCAUAUCUGAACAGCUCGUCAAAUGAGGUUUAAAGAAAGGUGACCUUUGAUUUAAUGCUAAUGUAGUCAAUACUCUUUGAAUCAUACCGUGAGUGAAUAAUAAAAAACCCCUCCAGCAGUAAAAAGGUCAGCAGUAAAAAAACAAAGCUUGGGCCAUUUAACAGGUUCACAAGGGCAUUUCUUAUUUUUUAAUAACACAACUGAACAUCACUGGCAGUGAAUGGGCUGAAUGACUUCAGAGCCCAACAGGCUCUUCAGUUUGGAUUCAACACACAGCCAUACUCAGCUUUUUUGACCAAAAUACCCUUUGGCUGAAUUCCUGCUGCAUGCCAAGAAGCCCAGCACAGCUUGCUGGGCAGUUCCUGUCUGCUUUUACCUGGACAGCCUUCAGACAUGCGAUGACAGUUUCUGCACUUUGACAAGUGGCCCAUGUUGUCCCAGGCUCUCCUAUUCACGCCACUACCAAAAUAUUGCUGUGCUGCCUUUUUUUAUGAAAGCUGAGCAGAUGCACCAAUGAGCAAGUGAAACAGAUAAAGAAAUGCCAGGUUGCUAGCAUUCUGUGCCCUCAAUUAGAAAUCUGAAUGACAAAGCCACAGCUCAGAGUUUUUCUGCAUAAUCCCUUUAAAAAUGAGUUUGCAAGAGCAUAUGCAAAUAUUUACCCUCUAUCUGGUUCUGAACACAUUAGCAGGCUGUUACACAAGGAAAGAGAUUGCUUCACUCCGUUUCCUGAAGAGGUUCCAGCAAUCCACCAAGGUUCCAGCAAUUAAACCCUCACCUGGACCAGUCUAGGGCGAGAGCCCAGCAGGAAGCCCUCCCUGGCUCUCCCCCCUUCAUGCUCCACUUAAUGCUGCAAUCCAGUCAAGGCUGGGUAAAGUACUUACUGUGUAGUUUUUUCUUCUUCCCCUCCAAAGAAACAAAAAAUUAAAAAUUACAGAAAAAAAAAAAGAAAUUUAAAUCCCAGAAGAGCAAUUUCAAUUACUGCAUGUGAUUACAUUGAACCUUUUAACUGCUGAUUACAGAGCUGUUUUUUUAACCAUGUGCUUCAAAGAAAACUGCAAUUAUUUUUACCUCCAAUGAACACACCCAAUCACCACUUAUUUCUACACCUGCAAUAAAUUUUGUCCACUAACAUUUAUAUUUGUGCUUGAUGAUCACAGAAACAUCCACAGUAUUUGUGCUUGCAAUUAGUGCUGCCUGCAGCGAGGAGGAGGCAGAUUCUAACAAAUUAAAUAAUGAAAUCCAAAAGCACAGCAGGGAAGGACGUUCAGGAACGGCAUUAAGCCAUCUUCAAGUAUUAGUGACAAGCAUCUCUUAGCAUGACAGGCAGCUGGGUGAUUUUAGAGGGAAGGGCUUUAACAAGCAGCACUGUGACACUGGGGCAGAGGGAAGGACUUCCAGGCAGAGACAGGGAGCAAGUCUCCCGGGGGCUUUUACGGAGCUAAAUGUGGUGUGGAACUGGGCAAUUCCAUCUGACACGGCCCGUCCCAGUCUGCUGGCCCAGUGCGACCGUUCCUGCUUGGUUUACAUCAGCACAAUCCUUCUUGCCCUGAUCAGGUACAUCGUGGCUGCCCCAGAGGGGAACACGCCAGCCAGCGUGCUCACGGCUCAGCCAGCCUGCGGAGUACAUCCAGGAGGGACGAGUGACAGGUCAGGUGGUAAGGGUGCAAAGAGGGGAUCCUCUGUGAUCCUGUCUGACCUCAGCUCUGAUGCACUGUGUGGAAUUGCUGGCCAACUUUCUGCUUAGUUUCCUAUUUACAGGGAGUGCAUUCGUGAAAGCAGAGAUUUAGCCAUGUUCCAGAGAUAAGACUAAAAUAUCUAACACCUCAAGGUCAUCUUUUGCUUGUUUAACCACCCAUUAGUUGUUAUGAGGGCUAUUUACUUCUGUGUAGUUUUUAAUUCCAAUAAUAAUUUAUUAUUCAGUGUCUAAACUGCAAGAAGAAUCAGAUAAAUUACAGUGACACGUGCUAAGGUUGCUGCUCUUGUGACAGAGCUCUCUUUGAAUCCUUCUCUCACCCAUUUUAAGCUACCUGAGUGACUGCUUCCAGUGUAAAAUUGAAAAUAUAUACAACGAAAGGAAACUUUGGGUUAAGGGAGCAAAACACAUUUUCAGCAGAAAUGCUAAAGGCUCCAUCUCUGAAGCCACUAAACGCAAUUGGUAAUUUAUCUUCUAUAUUCACACUCACUAGAGAAUGCUUGAAAUAAGUUUCACAGCACAACAACCGAAUUCAAUAUACAAAAACAGAAACAAUCCAGCUGAAAUAAAUACGGGAAAUCAGUUAUUUGUUUAUUUAAGCAAACAUAAAACUUUCCAUUUUCAAAUCUCACUAGGUUUGCAUAACUUCCAUUUCUAUGACUUGUUACCUUUUACCAAAAUCACACUCUCAGUGACUGAACAGGCAGAAGCAAGUAGAAUGAGCAGUCCCUUGGUUAAAUAUUUUUAGAAGCUUCAAAACAACAGCAUAGCUCAUCAGAAUGGAUGCAUACAAACACAACUUGCAGAACAGUAUGUAUAUAUUUCUCACUGUAUGUGUGUAAACAUAUGGAAAUACAAGUGAGAGGAAAGCUUUCAGUCUGUCUAGCAAUUUUUCAAAACUAAUCGGUAGGCAGGGAGGCAUAGUUAUAACAAGACUGCUAAGGCAUUUAGAAAGGCAUUAGUUACUGGGUCAAGCUUAGGAAGUUGUUUUUUUUUUUCUCCCUUUGUAAUUAUUACAAUUUCCCCAUCUCAGGAUGACAGCAUACAGGAACCUAAAUAAGUAAAUUUCAUUUACUCUCACAAAAGACCAUGAGACACUACUACAACUGUGAAGUCAAUGCCAGCGUCCUUGGGAUGAAUGGCAGAUUUGAGGAAAAACCACUGCCACUAACACUGGGGAAGGCUGCAAACAACUGUUUCGUUAAUCCAAACACCCUGAAGAAAAAUCAAAGAGCUAUGAACUGCUGGCACAAUCUAUUACAAUGUGCCAAAUUAACAUUUUAGUAGACUGAAAAAAGUAAAGUAUCAAAAAGAGCUAUGAUUUUUUUUUUUUAAUAGGUAUUGUAUUAGAGUAAGUUCUUUGCUACAUUAUUGUCAAAGACCUUAUUUAGGCCAAAAAGAAAAAAAAGCUACUAUGGCCAAGAAUUAAGAAAUUCUAUUCGUCUUUUAAAAAUCUUUGGGGCAAAUGAAUGGCAUUUAUACUUUUAACUAUCUCACACUGCCUUCCAGCACUCCGAGGUUUAGAUAUUUAAUGUAGUCAGCAGCUCUACUGAGAAAGUCCAUAUUACAAGCCUCCCCCCAUUCACUCAGUAAGAAUGUUUAGAGUUAUACAUGAAGCAUACAAAAUAAACAUUACAAACCUUACACACAACUGAGAUGAACCUUGGAAAGAUGCUUGAUGCAUACUGCUGCACUGCGAGACUUCUGCACUCAUUUCCACCGGAACUGAAAACAUUUAUAUGCUACUGAUGUUCAAUGAAAACAGUUGGAGAUGGAUGAGCAAACGGUCAGAUGAAAGAUACCAAAAUGUCAGACAGCCUACCGACUGUUGUUGCCAUGAGAUCCAACAGUCAACAUCAGUCUGAUAAGCUAUCCGACAGGAUGGUACAGCCAUGGAGAUGUCACGACGGUUGGCAACACAAGAGGACAUUCAGGCAGGAUUGAACAUAAUACUUAUUCUCUCACCUUGCUCAAGAGCUGCCCUACCCGAAUACAGGGAUAAAUCUGACCUAAGCAAGAACAAAAUCUAGCUACUUUGUGCUCAUAUUCCACCUUUUGAUAACGCUAAUUCAAAUUCUCGUUAAUGCCCCAUAGGAUAAAAAUGAAAAACAACAGUUCUGAAGUUGUUAGAGUUGCAAUACAUACACUGUAGCAGUGGAAUGGGCAUCUACUUAUUGAAGACGGAAGAGAUCAGUUUUGGUAUGGGUUAUGUCGUACACAUCACAACUGGAACACACCAAUCAUGUUCUAUAAAUGUCUGAAUUUUAAAGCAGAACUGUAAGGUUCCCUAUGGCUCUACACAUCAUUGCUGGGUUAGACACCAAUUCUGUUCUCAGAUGGAAUCUUUGCUCUUCAUUGCUCGUGGUGCUGUGAUCAGUGGCAAAUGUCUACAAAGACUUUGUGCUAACAAACACAGCUAACCAGCUAAUUUGCCUGCAUGAGACAUACUUCAAGUUAUUACCAGUGAGCCAUACAUCAAGUUAUUUGCUUUCUACUUUCUUCUGCUAAGUAAGAAGUUCUUAAAGAAAAAAAACAACCAAGAAUAAAGGGCAGUUUCAGCACCAUUUGUGCAGGAAGGAUGAGUAAAGCAUGCACUUCAUGGGAUUAAGGCUUAAUAAAGAAACUGAGUAUACAAAAGUGGAGAGGAAAAGUAACAGUUUAAAAAGACUGACACAAGAAAUUCUGGAAUGAUCAAAGAUGACUUUAUAAAGUUUUAUCUUAACUUCAUUCUAAAUAUACAGAAUAAAAAAUGCCAGCUUCAGCAUUUUGACAUUAAUCAUAUCUGUUAACAUCAUGAAGAUUAAAGGGUGGCUUUUCCAACCGAGAGCACGUGCAAUGCAAUGGGACACUGGAGAAUUGAGAUGGAAAAACCUUACCAUGAGGGACAUGCAACAGUUUUUACCCAAUCUGUAUUAAUUUAUAUACAUUUUGAUGGUCUUGAAAGUUAAGGAAAAAGCAAAACAGCCACCCAUCAAAAUAAAAGUUACCCUCAGGUCAGCCUGAAGUUAAAUCAGGAAAUAUUAAAUUGGUUUUGGAAGUAAUUUGGAUGGACAACAUCUGUGUUAAACAUUUCACAUCACAUUGUCCAUUCCAUAUGUCCAUAACACAACCCAGACAUGUAAAGCAUUUAUACCUUACCUUAAUAUCUUUAAGUUUGUCAAUGAAACGUCUGCUCUAAUAGUCAAAUUACUUUCAAAUAAAAUAAAAACCUGUUAUAGUUGAAAAUUGAUGUUAAAAAGUUUUUCCCCAUUUUGAAUAAUGCUGAUUUUUAAAUAUAUGGAAAGAUGUGUCAUUUUUCAUGUCUGUUAAAACCCAGCCCAAGGGUUUUUUUUUUUUCCAAGCUCAUUUGGUUUUUUCUUCAGAGUACAUCUUCUGUUGCAGUCGUUUGGCAUAGCUUUGGGCCAUGGAGUUGAUUAUAGAUAAGAUAAAAUAA